rnacentral:rRNA from 1 species
AUUGAACGCUGGCGGCAGGCCUAACACAUGCAAGUCGAGCGAGCGGCGGACGGGUGAGUAAUGUAUGGGGACUGCCCGAUAGAGGGGGAUAACUACUGGAAACGGUGGCUAAUACCGCAUACUAUCGGAUAACCCAUAUGGGAUUAGCUAGUAGGUGGGGUAAAGGCUCACCUAGGCGACGAUCUCUAGCUGGUCUGAGAGGAUGAUCAGCCACACGGGAACUGAGACCCGGCCCGACCUCCUACGGAGGCAGCAGUGGGGAAUAUUGAACAAUGGGCGCAAGCCGGAUACAGCCAUGCGGGGUGAAUGAGGAGGGCCUUAGGGUUUUAAGUUACUUUCGCCGGGGAGGGUUUACCCGCAGAGGAAGCACCGGCUAACUCCGUGCCAGCAGCCGCGUUAAUUC